rnacentral:rRNA from 1 species
UGGGGAAUUUUGGACAAUGGGCGAAAGCCUGAUCCAGCAAUGCCGCGUGUGUGAAGAAGGCCUUCGGGUUGUAAAGCACUUUUGUCCGGAAAGAAAUCCUUGGCUCUAAUACAGUCGGGGGAUGACGGUACCGGAAGAAUAAGCACCGGCUAACUACGUGCCAGCAGCCGCGGUAAUACGUAGGGUGCAAGCGUUAAUCGGAAUUACUGGGCGUAAAGCGUGCGCAGGCGGUUUGCUAAGACCGAUGUGAAAUCCCCGGGCUCAACCUGGGAACUGCAUUGGUGACUGGCAGGCUAGAGUAUGGCAGAGGGGGGUAGAAUUCCACGUGUAGCAGUGAAAUGCGUAGAGAUGUGGAGGAAUACCGAUGGCGAAGGCAGCCCCCUGGGCCAAUACUGACGCUCAUGCACGAAAGCGUGGGGAGCAAACAGGAUUAGAUACCCUGGUAGUCCACGCCCUAAACGAUGUCAACUAGUUGUUGGGGAUUCAUUCCUUAGUAACGUAGCUAACGCGUGAAGUUGACCGCCUGGGGAGUACGGCCGCAAGGUUAAAACUCAAAUGAAUUGACGGGGUCAUAGCUGUUUCCU